GGCACGUUGGGAAGUAGUAAUUACAUUUCUAUCCUGAUUGUGCGAUUGAUUAGGAGUGUGAAUAUUUUGUUCCUUUUAGGAUCACUUUUCCUCCCUUAUGAUUUUAAGAAAACUUUGGGCUGAUUGGUAUAUGUAUUGUACCACUAGUAUUGUUUGACCUUAUUUAUGUAUGACAACUUAUUUUACCUAAAAUUGAUUUGUUUACAUACGCUUCAUUGUAACACAGGGAAGCACUUCCACGCAUUUUUGUGGAUUCUUGGCAUUAAUUUUUUUGUUACAAAUUGUUUGCAAUAAGUCUUAUUUGGUGACAAUGUACAUUAUUAUUUUCUUCUUAUUAUUAUUAUUGGUGAUUAUUCUGAAUUUCUUUAUCAGAAACCCUCAUAAAGCCAGUAACUAAGGCUCUAACGUCAUAGAGGAACCAAUUUUGUAAAUAGUUGAAGCAUGCAGAAAAUGAAAACAGCAUGCCUGGGUAAUCUUUCAUUAUUUGCAGCAAAACCCAGAAGAGCCACAGCCAGGUAGGAGUGAUUCUGCCCCAUCAAAGAGAGGGAAGAAGAAUAUGAAAAAAGGAGGAAAACAAAGCAUUCUUCUCGUUAACGGCAAGUCUGACAUCAACACUUCCAGUGGAGAUUCUUCAAGAUCUCCAUCUGCAGGUAUAUAAAAUUUGCCACCAAACCGUGCUUCAAUAUCAGGGUCGGGGGCGUAAGAUGAAGUUAGUGGUAUAGCGAGGUAGUCAGUAGUUCCCUUAGUAUUAGAGCGAUAGCGUCAGGGUGUGCAGAUACUAACGUAAGACCAAAUUUUCUCCUUUAUUAAGCAGACAAGUUUGGGAUCUACCAGACAUUGCUGAGAUACCUACUGCCCCGCCACUUUCCCCGCAGUCGGCAGUGCCACGUGGGUGGGUGGAAUGGCUUCUGACUGAUCUUGUGGUUCAGAUAGAACAACUGCUAGAAGAAGGAAAAGAGAGGGUGAAUGGACAACAAUCAGUAAGUACAUUUCACUGCGACAUAAGUAGAAAGAGAGAGCGAACCCCUACUAUAUUUACAUAUGCUAAUAUCUAAUAUGACGAUAGAUUAAAAAAAAACUCAGUCUUUAGAGUUUGAAUAAUCAUCGUUUUUAAGGCCGUUUUUAGGCGUCGUCGUCAAUAUCAUCAAACAACGAUGAUACACCUCCAGUAUUCAUCAUCAAUCAGAGAAAUUAUAGAAUCCUCUAUCAGACAUUAAUAUAUCACCAAUCAACAAACAUGAUCAUUAUCCUCAUCGUCGUCGUCGUCGUCGGCGGCGGCGUCGUCUUCAUCAUCAUCAAUUAUCAGAAUUCACGAUCAACCAUCAUCGCAAAUUAUCAAUCAUCAUCAUCAUCAUCAUCAUGCAUGAUACCAGUGUCUCGUCAAUGCCUCGGGACAAGAGCAUGCCAGGUGUGUAUAUUUUCACAAUGUUUAUUUUUUACAAUGUGUAUUUAUUAGCAAUAUAUAGGGGGGAAGUAUUUAUAUAACUAUAAUAAACACGGUAUUCAUCAGCAGUUGUAACAUGUGUGGUGUGUUCGAGAACUAUAUAUAUAUAUGGAAUUUAUGAAGAAUAUUCUUUUUAAGGCCGUUUUUAACUACACUACUGGCAUCAUUUCAGGAGGCAAGAAAUAUUGAACACCAUAUUUCGGCUUCUGACUGAUCUUGUGGUUCAGAUAGAACAACUGUAGAAGACGGCAAAAAAGGGGGAAAUGGACAACAAUCAGUAAGUACAUUUCACUGCGACAUAAGUAGAAAGAGAGAGCGAACCCCUACUAUAUUUACAUAUGCUAAUAUCUAAUAUGACGAUAGAUUAAAAAAAAACUCAGUCUUUAGAGUUUGAAUAAUCAUCGUUUUUAAGGCCGUUUUUAACUACACUACUGGCAUCAUUUCAGGAUGCAAGAAAUAUUGAACCUUCUUCAGCUUCUGGCUGAUCAUCUAACGUCAUAGAGGAACCAAUUUUGUAAAUAGUUGAAGCAUGCAGAAAAUGAAAACAGCAUGCCUGGGUAGUCUUUAAUUCUUUAAGUGGCGUUUUAUUACAUCUUAUUCGUCGACACACACAUUCUGACGGCUUGUCUGCCCCUGCUUGUUGCAGAAAACACCACUCCCGACGACAACACGGAGCCUCGUCCCAUCCAGCGGACAAGGUAUCGCGGCUAUCAGCUGGAACUGCUGGAGGGCGAGUUCUCUAGGAACACCCGCCCCUCGUGGGAUGUCCUAGAACUCGCCCGAGAGACGGGGCUAACCGACGAGCAAGUGCGGGAGGCAAGACGUCAUAAAUGCAUUCAGAAGACAAGCUCAAGCUCUGGCCACAUGGAGCUACAUAAUGUAUGUUAUGAGUUUUUAAAGUAAUUCAAUGCUUCUAAUCUGAGAGAGCCAACCCCUCCCCAAGACACAGGUACAGCUGGUUCCCAGUAGAGCCAGCAGAAAAGGUAAACCAUCAUAUAGCCAGUAACUAAGGCUCUAACGUCAUAGAGAAACCAAUUUUGUACAGGAAAAAUAGACUAAUUAGAGCGAUAGCGUCAGGGUGAAUCUUCGUUCAUCAUCAUCACCAAAAUAAAUCAAUCAUAAUCAUCAUCACCAUCAUCAUCAUGCACGAGGGUAUGCUCUUUUAACCUCCUCCCAGGUAUGCAUUUUUCCACAAUGUUUAUUUUUACAAUGGGAUAUUUAUUAGCAAUAUAUAGGGGGAAGUAUUUAUAUAAUUAUAAUAAACACGUUAUUUCAAUGGUCUGCCACCAGUGACACUAACAUAACCAGGUAGGGCUGUAGGAAGUCCUUUUUUUUUUUUGCUUUUCGCUUUUCUUUAUAACUCUGUGUGUGUGUGUGUAUACGAUUUUUUAAAAUUAUUAGCAGAUAUUCAAAGAUGACCCAUGUCCCAAGGGGAGUGAUCCUCCUAAUGAUCCCCAAGGGGGGGAAGAGAUGGAAAAGGAGGAAAGACCAAAAUAAGCAGUUCUUUUCUCUUAUGAGAUCCCUGGCGGAUGGUCUGCGAGUGGACAUCCUUUGGGAUCUCCACAUGAAAAUCCACAAGAUUGGUUACGAAACAGUAAUGAAAUAUACAGAAUUAACUCCCCAGUGAGCCAACGGCCCCUCCCCAAAACACAAGUCCUCCAAGUUCAGCUGGUUCGAAAUAGAGCCAUGAUAAAGCCAGUAACUAAGGCUCUAACGUCAUAGAGAAACCAAUUUUGUAAAGGAAAAAUAGACUAAUUAGAGCGAUAGCGUCAGGGUGUGCAGAUACUAACGUAAGACCAAAUUAUCUCUUUUAUUAAACAGAAAAGAUAUUAGGGAAUAUGACAAGCCAUCGACCUCAUCACGUCGCCCUCCGUCCCCUGACUUCAGUGUUGUUGACCUCCUUCUGUGCAUGAUGAUAUUUGUAAGCAAACAUGUCUGAAAUGGAAGGGUGCUGAUUCCUUAGGAUUGUGGAAUAGGGAAUAUAUGUGUUAAUCAUAUAUCGACAACGACGACGACUAUUAUUAUCAUUAUUAUUAUAUAGCACUACAAAUGUAUCCUCUCACAGGACAGCGAGCUCAAAGAAUUUUAUAAAAGCGAACGACUCAAAGAGACACCUAUUAACACUGUGCGCUCUGGUUCUACCUUACAGGUGUCGUUCAAAAACCGGCGGAAGAAGUGGCGGCAGAAGCAGAGAUUACGAAACCCUCCCCUCCUCCCAUCAUCAUCAUCAAUCAUCAACAAUCAUCAUCAAUCAUCAUCAUCAUCAUUAUCAUCAUCUACCUAACGAGAAUACUGAAUUUUUACACCAGCACUUUUUUUUUUUUUGCUGUGGAUUCUGUUUGGCUGUUUACUGCAAUUGUAGGUUUCUUAGAGCUUCAACUGCUAGAAACAAGACAUGUUUAUCUUUGAUAUUAAUGCAAUUAUUGUAACUUUGUAAGUAUAUACUUUGUGUGUUUUGUCUAAAAGCUGCAAUGUGCGUGCGUGCGUGCGUGCGUGCGUGCGUGCGUGCGUGCGUGCGAUUUUUUAAAAUUAUUAGCAGAUAUUCAAAGAUGACCCAUGUCCCAAAGGGAGUGAUCCUCCUAAUGAUCCCCAAGGGGGGGAAGAGAUGGAAAAGGAGGAAAGACCAAAAUAAGCAGUUCUUUUCUCUUAUGAGAUCCCCGGCGGAUGGUCUGCGAGUGGACAUCCUUUGGGAUCUCCACAUGAAAAUCCACAAGAUUGGUUACGAAACAGUAAUGAAAUAUACAGAAUUAACUCCCCAGUGAGCCAACGGCCCCUCCCCAAAACACAAGUCCUCCAAGUUCAGCUGGUUCGAAAUAGAGCCAUGAUAAAGCCAGUAACUAAGGCUCUAACGUCAUAGAGAAACCAAUUUUGUAAAGGAAAAAUAGACUAAUUAGAGCGAUGCGUCAGGGUGUUAGAUACUAACAUAAGACCAAAUGUUCUCCUUUAUUAAGCAGACAACUUUGGGAUCUACCAGACAUUGCUGAGAUACCUACGGCCCCGCCACUUUCCCCGCAGUCGGCAGUGCCACGUGAGUACUUUAACAGGUUCUGGAGUGAGUUAGUUUUAUCACCAUCUUUUGUGUAAACGUCUUCCCUGACUUAUUUUGCAGGUGGGUGGGUGGAAUGGCGGUUAGAUGGAGGUAGGAUGGAUGGGCCGGGUAGAACAUGAGAGUUCGCUAAUUAGCACGCACGAUCGUGCUUGAAAGCUUUUAAUCGGUCACAAGUGGAUGAACACAUGAGAGGGGAAACACGCAUACCCAAAGAGAAAUGGUGCCCCUUCUUACCAUGCAUGACAAAAGUGUGCAUGCGUGUGACUGAACGAGUGUCUUUAAGUGGCAUCUAAUUACAUCUCAUUCAUCGACACACACAUUCUGACGGCUUGUCUGCCCCUGCUUGUUGCAGAAAACACCACUCCUGACGACAACACGGAGCCUCGUCCCAUCCAGCGGACAAGGUAUCGCGGCUAUCAGCUGGAACUGCUGGAGGGCGAGUUCUCUAGGAACACCCGCCCCUCGUGGGAUGUCCUAGAACUCGCCCGAGAGACGGGGCUAACCGACGAGCAAGUGCGGGUAAGCACAGUAAACCGGUUAAAAGACUAGUCCACUAGUUGUUAAGUAAACAGCCCUGACUUCAGUCUUGUUGACCUCCUUCUAUGCAUGAUGAAUAUAUGUGUUAAUCAUAUAUCGACAACGACAACGACGACGACUAUUGCGAACGACUCAAAGAGACACCUGUUAACAAUGUGCGCUAUGGUUCUACCUUCCAAGAGGGGUUUAAAAAUCAGAGAAGAAAGUUGAAUCAGGCGCCUUCCCUCCACUCAUCAGCAUCACCAUCAGCAUCACCAUCAGCACGAUCAUCGUGAGCAUCAUCAUUACCACAUACAGCGCAGGCGGCGUCGUCAUCAUCAUCAAACAACGACGAUACACCUCCAGUAUUCAUCGUCAAUCAGAGAAAUUAUAGAAUCCUCUAUCAGACAUUAAUAUAUCACCAAUCAACAAACAUGAUCAUUAUCCUCAUCGUCGUCGUCGUCGGCGGCGGCGGCGGCGGCGGCGUCGUCUUCAUCAUCAUCAAUUAUCAGAAUUCACGAUCAACCAUCAUCGCUAAUUAUCAGUCAGCAUCAUCAUCAUCAUCAUCAUGCAUGAUACCAGUGUCUCGUCAAUGCCUCGGGUCAAGAGCAUGCCAGGUGUGUAUAUUUUCACAAUGUUUAUUUUUUACAAUGUGUAUUUAUUAGCAAUAUAUAGGGGGGAAGUAUUUAUAUAACUAUAAUAAACACGGUAUUCAUCAGCAGUUGUAACAUGUGUGGUGUGUUCGAGAACUAUAUAUAUAUAUGGAAUUUAUGAAGAAUAUUCUGUAAGUUUUCAUGACCAGCUAUUAUGUAGUAGUAGAGAAUUGUACAUGGCAUUUAUAAGCAGUAAUAUUUGUGUUGGACGGAGUAUACCUGCUUGUGAUGUUAAUUCUCCAUCUUUCUUGCAGCCAUCCACUGCUUGGAGAAACCGGCGGGGGAAGUCGCGGCGAGAACAGAUAAUGAGAAACCCUCCCCUCCUCCUGCACGCUCCUUCCGCACGUGAGACAUCCCCCCGACGGUGUUUUGAACCGGUAACAGAAAUCGUACCCCCUACCAAAUCUACGGACCCCGCCCCAGGUUUGCGACAGAUGUGUUUACUGUUUUGUAAUGCAUUUGCAGAUCAAAAGCGUCUCUUGUGUAGGUUGGACAGAUGCAAAGAUUUGCCUGAAAAGAAUCACGAGGACAAUCUUGAUCGACAAGGUUUCAUAACUGUUAAGGCCAAAGAAGAGAAAAAUGUGCUUUCAAGGGGCUUUCAAAGGUGCAGACCAUGAUAUGCAGUAAGUGAUGAUGUAUAAA